rnacentral:rRNA from 1 species
GAGUUUGAUCCUGGCUCAGAUUGAACGCUGGCGGCAUGCCUUACACAUGCAAGUCGAACGGCAGCAUGAUCUAGCUUGCUAGAUUGAUGGCGAGUGGCGAACGGGUGAGUAAUACAUCGGAACGUGCCCUGUAGUGGGGGAUAACUAGUCGAAAGAUUAGCUAAUACCGCAUACGACCUGAGGGUGAAAGUGGGGGACCGCAAGGCCUCAUGCUAUAGGAGCGGCCGAUGUCUGAUUAGCUAGUUGGUGGGGUAAAGGCCCACCAAGGCGACGAUCAGUAGCUGGUCUGAGAGGACGAUCAGCCACACUGGGACUGAGACACGGCCCAGACUCCUACGGGAGGCAGCAGUGGGGAAUUUUGGACAAUGGGCGAAAGCCUGAUCCAGCAAUGCCGCGUGUGUGAAGAAGGCCUUCGGGUUGUAAAGCACUUUUGUCCGGAAAGAAAUGGCUCUGGUUAAUACCUGGGGUCGAUGACGGUACCGGAAGAAUAAGGACCGGCUAACUACGUGCCAGCAGCC